GACAUUUCAUUCUAUCACAAAAAAAUGUAAAUCGCUCCAUUCCCCAGACACGAAUUCACAGUGGUUCAGUUCUUUCAAGAAUUCUUGGCUCUCUUCAUCUUCUUAUCCAUCUCCUACAAUUUCAGGUUCUUCCAAAAAAAAAUCCGUAACAGUGCCAAUGUACCCUUCCUGGAAUCCACUCCAUUUUUUGUUUGAUUUUAGAUGUUCUACAACAUGCUUCUCUAUCAUUCAUGAAUUCAAGAGAUUUCACAAUGUUGGACAUAAUCCGAAGACCUAAGAAAACAGAAGCAAGAGCUGGAAAAGUUGAUGCAAGAUCAAAAGACAUUUACAAGCUCACUCUUUAAUGUUACACCUAUUGUAGGAGGUAUGUUGCUCGCUAAGAACCCCGUUUUAAGUUUUCUGGGUUCAAACUUUUGUAUAUUUAUGCUAUUUGCUAAUAUUUUCAAGAGAUUCAUAUACUUGUAUGCCUGUGCUUUAUUUUAAUAUGAGGUGAUUUUGCAGUGUGGUUAAAGGAUUGAAAAGGCAAUUCGAAUUUUCAUCAAGCAAUAAAUAUAUGAACUACUUCAUAAAGACUUCUUAAAUUUCUUUUGUAAGUUUGUGCUACUCUCUUUCUAGGCUUCUACUUUUUGCACUUGGUUUUCUCAUUCUGCUUAUUGUUUAGAAGGAACAUGCAUUAUUUUUAUGGCUUCAAUUUCAAGUAGAAGUUAAUUUCAUUUAGACAUUUUUUUAUUUGAUUACAAUAGAAAGAAGUUAUUUUUUCUAGAUUCUUAUAUUUUUGAUAGUGGAAACAAAAAGCAACAAGCUAAGAUGGGUGAAGCACGUCAGGAAUGGCGAAUCUUUUUGUGAUAAAAAGAUUCAUUUUACAAGUUCGUAAUUGUAUUGCGCAGCAAUCUACUCAGUGCUAUAAGGGCAUUGCUGAGAAAAUACCACCCUUUUAUUAAUUUGACGCAACAGUUUUCCAGUAAAGGAAUGAAUUAGAAACUACCCAUGUCCAUGAACUGUGACCCACGUUCAUUUUCAGCUUCAAUGCACUUCCAUUUAUUUAGUUAAAUUGAAUUUCACUACAAAUAUACAUGAAGCUUAAAGCUUCUACUGCCAAAAGUUCUUUAAGAACUAUGAAAAUCCAUACAAGUUUCUCCCUUCUUUUCCAAUGGUUGUUUUUGAAGUACAGUCAAACCUCUAUAGUAUCUCUAUAUAACAGCCAUUCACUAUAAAAUCCAAGUUUUUCUUGGAAUCGAUUUUUAUGUUUUAUUAUAAUAUAUAUUUUUAUAACAACACUUCACUAUAGCAGCCAAAAAAUAUCUGAACAAACGAACCUGUUAUAGAGAGGUUUGACCCUAUUUUGUAAGAUAGGAAAAUUGAUGUAGAAGCCCCAUUUCAUGUCUUAAAGUGAUUCGAUACAUCAGAUGUCUUACAGUUUUGUCUACCAUGUAAUUUUGCAUUUGGAAUAGAAUUUGAAAAACCUUUUGUUGCUCGCACGUUGCGGAAUGAAAGAAUCCAGAGAUGUUUAAAUGGGAGUCCUAUCGCUUUAUGUUCUUUGAUAUUCAAGUAGUUUAUCGUGUUUGUGCCUUAAGUUACAUUUUGCACAUGUAGCACAUAGUACUGCUUUUGUAGUUCUGUUCUUCUCACUUAUAUAUAGUAAAAAUUCAUUCAUCUUAUGAAAGGAUAAUGUGAAAGGUGGGUGCCUUUGUAAGAUCACUUAGGAUUCAUUUUCUUUCCUCUAUGUUUUAGAAGGCUAUCUCAUUAUUUAAGAUUCCUCUUUCCUCCCUCUAAAUUUGCUACUACUUUACUGCAGGUGAAGAUUAGAUUACUUCGAUUAUUGAACAAGUGUGUCCUUCUUUUAUUAUUUUUAUACAAAGCCCUUCUCUCAAGGACUAACAUGGAACUCUUAGUUUAUUGAAUUUACCAAGAAGAGUUAGUGAGAUUCAAGAGAUGAAAUGAUAGUUUGUAGAACUGAACAGCUUCUUCGAACAAAGUUUCAUCUUUUUUAUUCAUUUUUUGGGACCUUGUUUGGCUUUUGCUAAGAUUUGGUAUCUUUUGAUUUGGGUUGGGAAGUUGCUUUGGGCUGGAUAUAUCCCUUACAUAGAAAACAAACUCAUAAUUUUGAGCAAGUUGAUUCUCUUUAAUU